AUUGAACGCUGGCGGCAUGCCUUACACAUGCAAGUCGAACGGCAGCACGGGAGCAAUCCUGGUGGCGAGUGGCGAACGGGUGAGUAAUACAUCGGAACGUGCCCAAUCGUGGGGGAUAACGCAGCGAAAGCUGUGCUAAUACCGCAUACGAUCUACGGAUGAAAGCAGGGGAUCGCAAGACCUUGCGCGAAUGGAGCGGCCGAUGGCAGAUUAGGUAGUUGGUGAGGUAAAGGCUC
rnacentral:rRNA from 1 species